GUGUCAGCCGCCGCGGUAAUACGGAGGGAGCUAGCGUUGUUCGGAAUUACUGGGCGUAAAGCGCGCGUAGGCGGUUUUUUAAGUCAGAGGUGAAAGCCCAGUGCUCAACACUGGAACUGCCUUUGAAACUGGAAAACUUGAAUCUUGGAGAGGUCAGUGGAAUUCCGAGUGUAGAGGUGAAAUUCGUAGAUAUUCGGAAGAACACCAGUGGCGAAGGCGACUGACUGGACAAGUAUUGACGCUGAGGUGCGAAAGCGUGGGGAGCAAACAGGAUUAGAAACCCCUGUAGUCC
rnacentral:rRNA from 1 species